UUAGGAAUCUUCCACAAUGGGCGAAAGCCUGAUGGAGCGACGCCGCGUGAGGGAUGAAGGCCUUAGGGUUGUAAACCUCUAAAAGAGGGACGAUAAUGACGGUACCUCUUGAAUAGCACCGGCUAACUCCGUGCCAGCAGCCGCGGUAAUACGGAGGGUGCAAGCUUUAUCCGGAUUUACUGGGUGUAAAAGGCGCGCAGGCGGGAUAAAAAGUCAGUGGUGAAAUCCUACAGCUUAACUGUAGAACUGCCUUUGAUACUUUUAUUCUUGACUUCGGGAGAGAGAGACGGAAUUCCAGGUGUAGUGGUGAAAUACGUAGAUAUCUGGAAGAACACCAGUUGCGAAGGCGGUCUCUUGGUCCGACACUGACGCUGAGGCGCGAAAGCGUGGGGAGCAAACA
rnacentral:rRNA from 1 species